AGCUUCAAUUUCGGUCGCAAUAAAAUGUCGCCGGGGCGAAAAACCCUAACCCUAACCCUAAUUCUCCUCCCCCAUUUCCCGUCCUCCUCCGAGAAAAAACACGCGGCCGAGAGAAUUGCGAGAAGGAGAGCGGCGGCGAGAGAGAAGCUCUGGUGAGCGAGCGCCGCCGAGAGGGGAGAGUGCAAGGUAGAGAAGAAGACCCCCCACCCCCGGUCCCGUGGACAUGCUCGCCGGCGCACGCGUGCUACCGAAGUCGCUCAGUGCUCCGUUGACCAGAUCUCCGCUGAGGAGCAUGAAAACGGUGCGCGUGGCAAGAAGAAAGGGACGCCGGUGGAGCUCCGAACCUGCGCACGCAAGAAGGCGACAUUGGCGACGAGAUGGAGACACCGGUGGCUGAAGACCUGCGCGCAACCGAGACGGAGGAGGCAGAUCCGCCGGAGAAAGAGCGGGUAUCAGCUCCUGCGACUUCAACAACGACAAUAGUGCUCUCCAAAACAACGUGGGCCAUAAUCGGAUCACACUGGGAUCGGCCAAGUAAAUGGACCAAAUAGCCCUUUUUCAUCCCGACCAGUCGAACCUUGGUGCCUACUCGUCCUCUCCACUGCCCCUCCCUGUUGCGAGGCCUCCCCUGCCACCGGCCUCCCCUCACCCGCAGCCCCUGGGAGGCAAAGGUGCUGGUAGAUGGCAAGCUUGGCUAAUUACUUCUUGGCGUCCGCCCACAGAUUAGCAGUAGCCUGGCCGUCCGUCAAGUAGCCGCAAAGCCCAUCCAACCCUAGCACAGCAACAUCCUCUCCACACGUAGAUCUGAAGGUCAAGGCUGUAGGCCUUGGUCUGAGGCUAGCUCGUGUGGAAGCAGGCAGCCACAGGGCCUACGACAUCUAGGAACUUAUUGAAGGCGAGCUUCCUUGUUAUAGAUGAAUGAAGAAACUACAGUUAACCCAUGUUUUUGUCUAGUUAGAGGAAAUUGAGUAGUUGUUACCAGAGUUCAGAGCAUCUCUAGCUGAAAUCUGAAAUCUGAAUGUAAAGCUUUGUUCUCUGUAAGGCUUUGUUCUGAAAUCUGAAUGUUAUAUCUCAAGUGCAGAGCCUCGUGACUGUGCUGCGAAUACUUGAUUUCUUUUGUUCUUUUGGAUGUAAUGGCUAUGAAAGGGACCAACGACUAGUGUGUUCUUACAAGAAUUCUGAUCCUACUCUCGAAAAAAAUUAAUUCUGAUGCAGUUGUAUCACAAUAGUUUGGCACUGUCUUAUCGCUCUAAUAUGCGGUCAGAACAAUAAAACAGAUCCUUCACAGCAGCUAUUAGCACUGUAGCAAAAAUACUAUGGCAAAAUUCAGGGAGCAAAAUGGAGGGGGCAUAUAAAACAGAUUGUACACCAUCACUAACAGAUUGUACACCAUCACUAAUAGAUUGUACAUCAAGCAUUCAUACAUUGCUUCACUUUACAACCAUCACUAACAUACUGUACAUCAAGCAUUCAUACAUCGCUACGUUGUUGAGAUGAUGAUGGACAACAGACUAAUUUUGGGGCUCUCUUUCUGUCCUCCUGAACCAGGCAACGGUUUACCUGGGAUGUUAGAGAUCACACUAGUUUCUACAGGUUCUACCCCAAUAACCUGAAAUGAUAGGAGGAAAAUAUAUAAAUACAAUCAAACAGUUUCAGGUGUGCUAAAUUUUAAGCCAGCUUCCUGGUCAGAUAAAUCACAGACAAAUAUCAGAUGUGUGGAAAUCACUGUAUUUCCUGAAACUAUGGUAGUUGAACAACUUUAGAAUGAAAAAACAGAAGAGCAUUCAAGGCUCAAUGACUUCAAAAAGGUAUAAAAUCUAAGCACAACAGCAUUGAACAGGAAAUCAAAAGCUCCUUUUAGUCUGUUGCUAGGAUCAUUUAACACAAUCUCUACUCCAAAUGCACAUAGAAGAAUGCGUAUCUCGACUUAUAUUGAUGAAGGCAUAGUUGCUAUCAGCUUGUAUCCUCUAGCUGCAGCCACAGAAGCGAUGCAUAACCAGUGUUCCCAGUGGUUGAUUCUACCAAAAUGGUCUGCGUAGGUACAAAAUAUCUACAUAAAUUCCAAUAUUCAUGGUAAUAAUAUUGCAAAUUAUAUAUGAAUGGUCUGUAACCUUUUUUGGAUAUAAAUUAAUCCCUUCUCUUCAGCAUCAUAAAUCAUGCUUAACCCAAUCCUGUAAACAUACACAUGAGAGGUGACACAUAAAAAUUUGCAUCAUGGGCAUUAAAUAAUACUGAAAUCACAAUUGCGUAGCUAUCUUUGACGCUCAUGCUCCAUUUCAGCCUGAUGAUAGGCAGGAGGAGGGGAGGGGCAUGCCACGGGAGAAGGGUCGGUGACGGGGAGGGGCAGGUGGCGGCCUGCUAGAGGAUGAGCACGUAUCUAUGUCUGGCUGGGAGUCGAUCUGGAUCGGGUUCGACCGACCAGUGCAUAUGGAUGAGCAUGGGCAAUUUGGUCCAUUUACUUGGCUUGAGAGGGGAAAAGAAAAAGAAAACGAAUUAUGGUAACAUAUUCAAAAGUCAUUCUUAGUAGCAAACAAAUGAAGACAAUGGUGGGAUUGGCAAAUAAGAAGGAAAAAAAAUAUCAAUUCUGUCCUCUAGACGUGUCCUCCGUUGCAUCUUUUCCUGUUGGCCCCUGCAGUAGGGGUUUCACUCAACUGUGCUGCGGCUGGGACGCGACGGAGUUCCGUUCCUUGUCCGGCAAUCUGCGAACGCCGUCUCUUCUUACGCUGUCCACUGCCCUUUGCGCCCCCUCAGAUCAAGGCAGACAUCUCUCCACCGCAAUGCCAUCUCUCUUCCUCUCUCGUCGGGGUUGUCGCCGCCUUCAACCCCAACCUGGACCAUCUUGGAGAGGGGAUCCAUCCGUGCUUGUGUUGAUAUCUUCUCUCGGUUGAUAAGAAGGUAGACUAAGAAUGGCUGCAUGGAACACUUCAAUGGCCUCUGAGGAUGAUUAUGAGACUGAGCAGAAGAAAGAAGCUGCUGCAGAUGUUCUUUUCCACUAUUCUCAGUUUGUUAUGGUGUGCAUUGGUGAGGGUGUUCGGUCAACUGAUCUCAGUAUUGUUCUUGAUGCUUGCUGCAGUCCAUAAGUCAUAUGAUGCUAGCUCAGAUCAUUUGCUCUCUUUACAUCAGGAAGUUUCAGGAUUGCCCAUUUCUCUAAGGAGCCACAACAGGCUGCUGCCUCACCGGAUUCUAGCGGUGAACCGUCCUCCUCUGGAACAAUGAAAGGGGACAAGAACGAAAUCUCAUAAGCUUCUUCACUCAUCCCUCCAGUCUCCUGGUGUUCCUGAUGCUGUGAGAUGACAACGAUCUUCGGAGGAUGAGGCCGGCUCGCUGCUAGUGCUUUCAACAAGCAUUAAUGGAUCAUAGGAAUGUAAAUAUGUUGUUUUUUUUUUUGCUUUUUUUUUGGUUUUGUUUUCCAAAAAUAGACCAUAUACAAAACUAUUUCUAGUUUUGACCCCUAA